rnacentral:rRNA from 1 species
CCCAAAAAAGACAGUCUCAGUUCGGAUUGAAGGCUGAAAUUCGCCUUCCAUGAAGCCGGAAUUGCUAGUAAUGGCAGGUCAGCAUACUGCCGUGAAUACGUUCCCGGGCCUUGUACACACCGCCCGUCACACCAUGAGAGUUGGGAAUACCCGAAGCCUGUGAGCUAACUUUUAGAGGCAGCAGUCGAAGGUAGAAUCAAUGAUUGGGGUGAAGUCGUAACAAGGUAAC